rnacentral:pre_miRNA from 1 species
CUCACACCCAUAUGUGUAGGACCCCAAAGGAUCACCAUUAAAUUUGGCAUAGAGAUCUAAAAAAGUUAUCACAUGGGUGUGAGACUUGACUUUUUUAGAGAUCUAUGCUAAAUUUAAUGGUGAUCCUUUGGGGUCCUACACACAUGGGUGUAGG